AACGAACGCUGGCGGCAUGCCUAACACAUGCAAGUCGAACGAGACCUUCGGGUCUAGUGGCGCACGGGUGCGUAACGCGUGGGAACCUGCCCUUAGGUUCGGAAUAACUCCCCGAAAGGGGUGCUAAUACCGGAUAAUGUCUUCGGACCAAAGAUUUAUCGCCUUUGGAUGGGCCCGCGUUGGAUUAGCUAGUUGGUAGGGUAAAAGCCUACCAAGGCGACGAUCCAUAGCUGGUCUGAGAGGAUGAUCAGCCACACUGGGACUGAGACACGGCCCAGACUCCUACGGGGGGCAGCAGUGGGGAAUAUUGGACAAGGGGGGAAAGCCUGACCCAGCAAUGCCGGGGGAGUGAUGAAGGCCUGAGGGUUUUAAAGCUCUUUUACCCGGGAUGAUAAUGACAGACCGGGGAGAAUAAGCUCCGGCUAACCCCG
rnacentral:rRNA from 1 species